rnacentral:rRNA from 1 species
AACAUAGCCAUCAGACUAUAUUGUUGGUUAAACCUGCCCAAUGUAAAAUUAAUGGCCGCGGUACCCUGACCGUGCUAAGGUAGCGUAAUCAGUUGGCUUUUAAAUGGAGUCAGGAAUGAAUGGGAUAACCUGGUUUAGCUGUCUUUCAUUUAAUAAUUUGAAUUUACUGUUCAAGUGAAAAAGCUUGAUUAAACUAAAGGGACGAGAAGACCCUUAGAAUUUUCUUUAAAAAAUUAUUCUUUUGUAAUUUUGUUGGGGCGACAUAGAAGAAUUUACAACCUUCUUUAAAUUACAAGCCGGUUAUAUUAUGUAAGAAUAAAUUACCUGAGGGAUAACAGCAUAAUUCUAUAAUUGAGUUUGUGACCUCGAUGUUGGACUAGGAAACUGGCAGGCUAGCCGUUUGCUAUGUUGGUUCUGUUCGAACUUUUAUUCCU